UACAGAGACUGCAAGCGUUAUUCGGAUUCACUGGGCGUAAAGGGUGCGCAGGCGGCCAAGUGUGUCAGGUGUGAAAUCCCGAGGCUUAACCUCGGAACUGCGCCUGAAACUACUUGGCUAGAGUACCGGAGAGGGUAACGGAAUUCACGGUGUAGCAGUGAAAUGCGUAGAUAUCGUGAGGAACACCAGAGGCGAAGGCGGUUACCUGGACAGUUACUGACGCUCAGGCACGAAAGCGUGGGGAGCAAAAGGG
rnacentral:rRNA from 1 species